rnacentral:rRNA from 1 species
CAGUAGCCGCGGGAAUACGAAGGGGGCUAGCGUUGUUCGGAUUUACUGGGCGUAAAGCGCACGUAGGCGGACUUUUAAGUCAGGGGUGAAAUCCCGGGGCUCAACCCCGGAACUGCCUUUGAUACUGGAAGUCUUGAGUAUGGUAGAGGUGAGUGGAAUUCCGAGUGUAGAGGUGAAAUUCGUAGAUAUUCGGAGGAACACCAGUAGCGAAGGCGGCUCACUGGACCAUUACUGACGCUGAGGUGCGAAAGCGUGGGGAGCAAACAGGAUUAGAUACCCCUGUAGUCCCUGUCUCUUAUAC